rnacentral:rRNA from 1 species
AAAUUGAAGAGUUUGAUCAUGGCUCAGAUUGAACGCUGGCGGCAGGCCUAACACAUGCAAGUCGAGCGGUAGCACAGAGAGCUUGCUCUCGGGUGACGAGCGGCGGACGGGUGAGUAAUGUCUGGGAAACUGCCUGAUGGAGGGGGAUAACUACUGGAAACGGUAGCUAAUACCGCAUAACGUCGCAAGACCAAAGUGGGGGACCUUCGGGCCUCAUGCCAUCAGAUGUGCCCAGAUGGGAUUAGCUAGUAGGUGAGGUAACGGCUCACCUAGGCGACGAUCCCUAGCUGGUCUGAGAGGAUGACCAGCCACACUGGAACUGAGACACGGUCCAGACUCCUACGGGAGGCAGCAGUGGGGAAUAUUGCACAAUGGGCGCAAGCCUGAUGCAGCCAUGCCGCGUGUGUGAAGAAGGCCUUCGGGUUGUAAAGCACUUUCAGCGGGGAGGAAGGCGUUAAGGUUAAUAACCUUGGCGAUUGACGUUACCCGCAGAAGAAGCACCGGCUAACUCCGUGCCAGCAGCCGCGGUAAUACGGAGGGUGCAAGCGUUAAUCGGAAUUACUGGGCGUAAAGCGCACGCAGGCGGUCUGUCAAGUCGGAUGUGAAAUCCCCGGGCUCAACCUGGGAACUGCAUUCGAAACUGGCAGGCUAGAGUCUUGUAGAGGGGGGUAGAAUUCCAGGUGUAGCGGUGAAAUGCGUAGAGAUCUGGAGGAAUACCGGUGGCGAAGGCGGCCCCCUGGACAAAGACUGACGCUCAGGUGCGAAAGCGUGGGGAGCAAACAGGAUUAGAUACCCUGGUAGUCCACGCCGUAAACGAUGUCGAUUUGGAGGUUGUGCCCUUGAGGCGUGGCUUCCGGAGCUAACGCGUUAAAUCGACCGCCUGGGGAGUACGGCCGCAAGGUUAAAACUCAAAUGAAUUGACGGGGGCCCGCACAAGCGGUGGAGCAUGUGGUUUAAUUCGAUGCAACGCGAAGAACCUUACCUGGUCUUGACAUCCACAGAACUUUCCAGAGAUGGAUUGGUGCCUUCGGGAACUGUGAGACAGGUGCUGCAUGGCUGUCGUCAGCUCGUGUUGUGAAAUGUUGGGUUAAGUCCCGCAACGAGCGCAACCCUUAUCCUUUGUUGCCAGCGGU